CCACUCGUCUUGCUCCCACUUCAGGACCUACGUACACACCAAGGCCAUGCACCGCUUCUCCUCCACCACGCCAAUGUCGCCACCCCGCCUCCGCCUCCGCCUCCGACUCCGCGCCUGCCACUCCUCCUCCACCUCUCAUCCCUCACGCAUCUGGGAUCCCCACGCCGCCUUCGCCACCGCCACGGAGCGUGCGCGUUCAGGCAACCUCACCCCGGAGGACGCACACCACCUGUUCGACAAAUUGCUGCGGCAGGCCAAUCCUGUCCAGGAGCGUCCCUUGACUAACUUUGUGGCUCCCUCGCCCGCGCGCCCUCUUCGGCCGUUUAUCCCGAGGCGCCGGACGACGGGUGGCGCAGCCAAAUGUCUUCACCUAUGGUGUCCUGAUGGACUGCUGCUGCCGCGCACGCUGCCCUGAUCUGGCACUCGUCUUCUUCGGCCGUCUCCUCAAGACGGGCCUCGAGGCAGACCAAGUCGUCUUCAACACCCUCCUCAAGGGCCUUUGCCACACAAAGUGGGCGGAUGAGGCUCUGGACGUGCUGCUUCAGAGGAUGCCUGAGCUGGGCUGCACUCCCGAUGUGGUGGCGUAUAACACCGUCGUCCAUGGCUUCUUUAGGGAAGGCCAAGUAGGCAAGCCGUGCGAUCUGUUCCAUGGAAUGGCACAGCAGGCCGUUAUGCCUAAUGUGGUGACAUAUAGCUCUGUUAUUGAUGCGCUGUGCAAGGCUAGAGCAAUGGACAAGGCAGAGGUUGAACUGCAACAUUUGGCAUUGUGCUGAUUUCGUACAACUUUUUUAAAGAGGUCCUAUCUCACAACUGUCUGUCAGAACGGCUUACAUUUCUGUGCAUAUUUACUACUCUGACUUGGAAGCUACAACUACAGAUCCGUUGGAAGCUGCAUUGUGGGGGAAGUGACGGUGAUGAUUAUUGAAGCUAACAUGCCAGGUUCUGCUCAUGGUACCCGAUUCUUGCAAUGGGAUGAACCCACCAACCACCAUACACUCACCAAGGACGAGCAGAUGGCCUGUGUCGAGCUUGAGUCAUUUAGCAUUUCCGUGGUUUGAGAGUUUCGAUCAAGUUAGUUUUUUUUUGGCUGGACGAACGAAGGAGUAUGAUCUGUUAUUUAUGCAUGCUUUUGGUUAGAAACAUGUGAACAAUAUAUGGUCUGUUAACCUUAUGUUGUCAGUCAGUAUAUACUAUAUAGUACUGCUUUUAUCUA